rnacentral:sRNA from 1 species
UGUCCAUAGCCCAUGUUAUCAUCAAAGGCCAUGCUGAUGUCCCUGACCUGGCCUGCUACCUGGAACCAUGUAGAUGUCUAAGGGCUGCACAGAACUCCCACCCUCCCAUCUCACCCCCCGCAACCAGGUCCAGCAUUCAGGAGAUCGGCCUCUGUACCUCACCUGCACACUAGAGCUGUUCCAGCCAGCAAAGGUGAGGGUGAACUGGUCUGGAGGGCAGGAGAGAGGAGAGCUGACCCUGUCCCUUGCUGGUUGUGGCAUUUGGGUGACCAAGUCAGCUACCACCCAGGCCAAGAUCCUGGGCUUUGAGUUGGCCCACAUGAGCAUCUACUGCAUCUGUGAACUACUGGAGCAUGUGAAGGGGCGCCAAAAUAAAACUGAUAAGUAUGUAGCAGGAAAAGCAGACAGAACUUGGAAUGAAUGAUCAAAAUCAAUACUGCUGACACCAGUGAUGUGGGGAUAAUGGACACAGACAGAGCCUGCCUUACCAGCUACACAGUAGAACAUCCCUAGGGCUGAAGGAGACAGCAGCGACUCAGAGGACAACGGAAGCAAUCCAGAAAUAGAGACGAUUACAGAAAUUCACAACUAGUCAUAACUUGUAGAACAACUGACGGUGGAUUCCCAGGCCUGGCUGGUUGAAGCACAACUACGUAACAGAGCUAAGACUAAUCCAGCAGCAUGACAGCCUCUCCUCUGAACAAUGCAGGGCUUCUAAUAUCUUAGCUCCGAGCACCUUUUACUGCAAGCUAUCUUUGUCUAGCUUGGGAUUACAUUUAAAAACACUUUCCAUAUUGGUCAUCGGAAAUGGUUUUGUUUUAUGAGUCAUUUGUUGAGGUUUGAACACAGUCGAACACCCUUUUGGAAUGUAAAUCUUUCUGACUCUCACUGAGUUUCUCUGAAUCCAGUUCCCUUCUUCCCACCAUACAUCUUUUAGAUGUGCAUCCAUGAGAAUUUUUUUUUGUCAACGCUCUUAGAUUUUGCUCACAAUCACUGCUGUUCUUGGUAGCGGAGGUGAGCAGACAUGUUUCUAUGCGUGGCCCUUCUUCACACUUGAAGGAUGGUUUAUUUGACAUCUGGCUUCGUUAGUUGCUAUGGAAACAUCAGCUCCAGGUCCAAUCAAUGUCUACUUUCUUCACCCGUUUUAAAGACAUUUUAUUUAUUCACUUUUCAUUUUUGUUUUGUUUUUUAUUAAACCAAUUUUAUUGAGGUCAAAUGUGCAUAUAGCAACAUGUCCUCAUGCAAAGUAUGUAUGUUGACAAGCUUCGAAAAUUCAUAAGUCCAUGAAGCUAUCACCACAACUGUAGUCUAUAAUCUGCUCAUAAUCCAGAUGUUUAUCUAUUGUUCUUUCUAACGCAUCUCACACUCCAAACCUCAUUUCUCCCUCUACAAACCUGAACACUUUCCUAGACUUUUCCAUAAGCUUAUGUAAUUGUUAAAUGUGUCUUUAAGUUCUUUUACUGGGCACAGAAUAUAUUUGAGAGUCAUUCUUGUUAUUGCAUAUACCAAAGUACAUUUUCUUGUAAAGUUUCUAAUUUUAUCUUUUAUAUUUCUGAGCAUUUGAUGUAACAGAAUAAUUUCUCUCUGUGUCUGUCUCUUUCUGUGUCUCUGUCAUCUUCGUCUCCACUAUUUGCCGCCUCUUAUCUAGCAUCAUUGUAGAGAAAA